UGCAUUUCCAAUGUUGGGAAGUUGUGAAGGAUUGUUCGAGAUUCAAAAUUAUUCCCACCGGUCCAACGGUUGUGUUAAAUGAGACGUCGCUCCACGAUUCACCAUCAACCGAUUCGCCAUUGGACUCCUCAAUGAAAACGGAGUCACCACUCCCACGUCCGCCGAGACCUAUUGGGAGAAAGGCGGCAAAGGCCAAGAGAGGGAGCACUUCGAACAAUGAAUGUAUACAAUUAUUGGAGCAAAUAGCUAAGAACACCUCACUAAGAAUUGAGAGAGACUUGAAAAGAGAUGAAGUACAAUGAAUAGUGUUUGCCUUAGACUUGCCCUAGACUUAGCCUUCAUGGGUGAAACCACAAAUGGCAAGCUGCCACUAUUCAUGUGAAUAGUGGCAGCCCUUGCUUGCCCAUGCCCUAGACUUAGCCCUUAG
rnacentral:lncRNA from 1 species